rnacentral:rRNA from 1 species
GACGAACGCUGGCGGCGUGCUUAACACAUGCAAGUCGAACGGUAAGGCCCUUCGGGGUACACGAGUGGCGAACGGGUGAGUAACACGUGGGUGAUCUGCCCUGCACUUCGGGAUAAGCCUGGGAAACUGGGUCUAAUACCGGAUAGGACCACUGCCUGCAUGGGUGGUGGUGGAAAGCUUUUGCGGUGUGGGAUGGGCCCGGGGCCUGUCAGCUUGUUGGUGGGGUGAUGGCCUGCCAAGGCGACGACGGGGAGCCGGCCUGAGAGGGUGACCGGCCACACGGGGACUGAGAUACGGCCCAGACUCCUACGGGAGGCAGCAGUGGGGAAUAUUGCACAAUGGGCGCAAGCCUGAUGCAGCGACGCCGCGUGAGGGAUGACGGCCUUCGGGUUGUAAACCUCUUUCAGCACCGACGAAGCGCAAGUGACGGAAGGUGCAGAAGAAGGACCGGCCAACUACGUGCCAGCAGCCGCCGUAAAAC